rnacentral:rRNA from 1 species
CAGUUCGGAUUGCAGGCUGCAACCCGCCUGUAUGAAGUUGGAAUCGCUAGUAAUCGCGGAUCAGCAUGCCGCGGUGAAUACGUUCCCGGGCCUUGUACACACCGCCCGUCACACCAUGAGAGUCGGGAACACCCGAAGUCCGUAGCCUAACUUAUCUGAGAGGGCGCGGCCGAAGGUGGGUUCGAUAAUUGGGGUGAAGUCGUAACAAGGUAUC